UACAGAGGUCUCAAGCGUUGUUCGGAUUCAUUGGGCGUAAAGGGUGCGUAGGCGGCGCGGUAAGUCGGGUGUGAAAUCUUGGAGCUUAACUCCGAAACUGCAUUCGAUACUGCCGUGCUUGAGGACUGGAGAGGAGACUGGAAUUUACGGUGUAGCGGUGAAAUGCGUAGAUAUCGUAAGGAAGACCAGUGGCGAAGGCGGGUCUCUGGACAGUUCCUGACGCUGAGGCACGAAGGCCAGGGGAGCAAAACAGG
rnacentral:rRNA from 1 species